UAAAGAUGUCUAGGUGGGUAGGUUGAUGGACAGAUGGAUAGAGAGGCUUUUCUUUACUACAGGACGUCUCAUAACUUUUAUUAUAAUAACAUAUAUUAUGGAUCUCUAAGAAGGGGAUUUGCUGGGCUCCUAGACAUUGAUUACCAAGAAAUCCUUUUAUCAAAAGCAUCUCAUGGGGCUAUUAUUUCAUAGGAUUCAUUUAAAGGACACUUCAUCUAACCAGCUAGGUUAUCUGUACCUACACUUAACUAUGGCCAACAUUCACUGAACUCAGUGCGUGUCAGGCAUCUUGCUGAGCAUGUUAUAAAUGUAGCGUACGGUUUAGUCCUCAUGAUCGUCUUUGAAAGCGUGAGUGAUUGUGUGGUUGAAAAACUGUAAGAGUGAAGGAAUGAGGGGUGGGUACCAAUCGGGGCCCCAGCAGGGAACAGAUGGCAUAUUCAAAGAGGCUGUGAUGAUAGAAAAGAACUGAAAAUAACCACAGAGGACCACACAUCACCCUAGGGCUUCUAGAGUAAGGACCUGUCACCAUCCCUAGGCCUGAGGGGGCAAGGCCAGGGGGCUAUUUCAGGGGAUCAGAGAUAGUAGCUAUUGAAGAGGGCUGCUUGGCAAUGGAUGUGACCUCUGGUAGAGGGACCCAGCCAGCCUGCAGUCCAGCAGAGAGGAAGGCAGGGAAUCAAUACUCUGAUCUCUUUUUCCCCUCCUUUCCUCCUCUUGCUUGCACCUCCCAUUGGCAGGACCUACCCAGAAGCUGGAGGGCUCCAGAUCCCCUUGGUGUAGCUCACCCUUCCCGGGCACAGAGCAGGGAGAAGAGGGAUGGAGAGUGAGUGUGGAGGGGUAAAUGGGAGACAUCUCACGCUAAGGAGUGAGUGAGGGCAAGACUUGAGUGACUGAAUGAGAGCAUGAGGGAGUAGGGAAGGAAAGCAGCUGUCUCCCCGUGAUCUGAGCCCCUCCCCAAAAGCCACCUUCCCCUCCUGCUCCAAACACCACCCAGGACCCAGACUUGGGGUCAAAAGGAAGGAAAGAAGGAAGGAAGGAAGGGAGGGAGGAAAGGAGGAAGGAAAGAAAGAGAGAAAGAAGGAAGGGAAGGAGGGAAAGUGGGAGAGGACAUAGGGUGGGAAGAAGAAAGAAGAGAAGGAAAUAAAGAAGGAAAAAAGAGAGAGGAACGGGAGAAGGAAAGAAGGGAGAGGGAAAGAAGGGAAGGUGGGCAGGAGGGAGGGAAACAGAGUCUCCAGUUUGUCUUCACCCCUCCUAGAGGCAACAAUGCUACAGGUUUUUAAGAAGUCUUCCUGAAAUAUACUAUGCACAUACAAGCGAUUUUAUUUAUGCAUUUCUCUCUUUUGCAGAGAUUACUGGGCAUGCAAUCAUGCAUCUUGCCUCAUUUGCUUAACAAUCCGUCUCGGGGAUUAUUUCCAACGUGUCCAUGAAGACCGUCCUCAUUCUACUUCACGCUCAUGUUAUGCCACACAUAGAGGGGCCA
rnacentral:lncRNA from 1 species